AUAAAAUAUCACAUCCGCCUAAAAUAUUACAUCCCCCAUAGAAAAAAUGAAAACGAGAACGCGCUUUCGAGUCAUUGCACUUAGAAGUGUAUCAAAUACGUCCGAAACAUUCAAUUAUAAACAAUAUAAUUAAAACGAGAUUCAUAAAAACGUUUUUUUACUAAUAUACUAUAAAUGAAGUUAGCAUAAAAUGAUUAAGUUUUUGAAUACCUUAUGCCGUCUUUGUAUUAAAUCAGUUUUAAUUUGCAAUUCAUCCAGUGAGCGUAGCCCAGCUGGCUACAGUACUUCGACUCGAUUCUUCAAAGCAUCAAUAAAUGGAAUGGCAUUCAAUAUAUUGUUUUAUAUUUAGAAUUAAAAUUUUAUUUAAAUAAAGACAAAUUUAAAAAAAAAAUGC